UACGUAGGUGGCAAGCGUUGUCCGGAUUUACUGGGCGUAAAGGGCGUGCAGGCGGUUUGUUUAGUCUAGGGUGAAAGCUCCCGGCUUAACUGGGAGAGGUCCUUGGAUACUGGCAAACUUGAGGGAGGCAGAGGAAAGUGGAAUCCCCGGUGUAGUGGUGAUAUGCGUAGAUAUCGGGAGGAACACCAGUGGCGAAGGCGGCUUUCUGGGCCUUACCUGACGCUGAGGAGCGAAAGCGUGGGGAGCGAACAGG
rnacentral:rRNA from 1 species